AUUGAACGCUGGCGGCAUGCCUUACACAUGCAAGUCGAACGGUAACGGGCCUUCGGGUGCCGACGAGUGGCGAACGGGGGAGUAAUACAUCGGAACGUGCCCGAUCGUGGGGGAUAACGAGGCGAAAGCUUUGCUAAUACCGCAUACGAUCUACGGAUGAAAGCAGGGGACCGCAAGGGCUUGCGCGGACGGAGCGGCCGAUGGCAGAUUAGGUAGUUGGUGGGAUAAAAGCUUACCAAGCCGACGAUCUGUAGCUGGUCUGAGAGGAUGAUCAGCCACACUGGGACUGAGACACGGCCCAGACUCCUACGGGAGGCAGCAGUGGGGAAUUUUGGACAAUGGGCGCAAGCCUGAUCCAGCCAUGCCGCGUGCAGGAUGAAGGCCUUCGGGUUGUAAACUGCUUUUGUACGGAACGAAAAGCCUUCUUUUAAUACAGGAGGGUCAUGACGGUACCGUAAGAAUAAGCACCGGCUAACUACGUG
rnacentral:rRNA from 1 species